UACAGAGGUCCCAAGCGUUGUUCGGAUUCACUGGGCGUAAAGGGUGCGCAGGUGGCAUGGUAAGUUUGGUGUGAAAGCUUCGGGCUUAACCCGGAAAUGGCAUUGAAAACUACUGUGCUGGAGGAUCGGAGGGGGGACUGGAAUUCUUGGUGUAGCAGUGAAAUGCGUAGAUAUCAAGAGGAACACCAGUGGCGAAGGCGGGUCUCUGGGCCGAUACUGACGCUGAGGAGCGAAAGCGUGGGGAGCGAACAGG
rnacentral:rRNA from 1 species